CACUAUGCUUAGCCAUAAACAUCGAUAGUAUUAUCACCUCACUAUCCGCCAGGGAACUACGAGCAAUAGCUUAAAACCCAAAGGACUUGGCGGUGCUUUAGACCCACUUAGAGGAGCCUGUUCUAGAACCGAUACUCCCCGUUCAACCUCACCUUUUCUUGUUUAACCCGCCUAUAUACCGCCGUCGUCAGCUUACCCUGUGAAGGUCCUAUAGUAAGCAAAAAUGAUUAAAAUCCAAAACGUCAGGUCGAGGUGUAGCGCAUGAAAAGGAAAGAAAUGGGCUACAUUCCCUACCCCAGGGAACACGAAUAGUACACUGAAACACGUACUUGAAGGAGGAUUUAACAGUAAGCAGAAAACAGAGCGUUCUGCUGAAACUGGACCUGAAGCGCGUACACACCGCCCGUCACUCUCCCCAAACUAAACCUACUUAACCAACCUAAACAACUACUCAUUCAAAGGGGAGGCAAGUCGUAA
rnacentral:rRNA from 1 species